rnacentral:rRNA from 1 species
GACGAACGCUGGCGGCGUGCUUAACACAUGCAAGUCGAACGGAAAGGCCCUGCUUUUGUGGGGUGCUCGAGUGGCGAACGGGUGAGUAACACGUGAGUAACCUGCCCUUGACUUUGGGAUAACUUCAGGAAGCUGGGGCUAAUACCGGAUAGGAGCUCCUGCUGCAUGUUGGGGGUUGGAAAGUUUCGGCGGUUGGGGAUGGACUCGCGGCUUAUCAGCUUGUUGGUGGGGUAGUGGCUUACCAAGGCUUUGACGGGUAGCCGGCCUGAGAGGGUGACCGGCCACAUUGGGACUGAGAUACGGCCCAGACUCCUACGGGAGGCAGCAGUGGGGAAUAUUGAACAAUGGGCGGAAGCCUGAUGCAGCAACGCCGCGUGCGGGAUGACGGCCUUCGGGUUGUAAACCGCUUUCGCCUGUGACGAAGCGUGAGUGACGGUAAUGGGUAAAGAAGCACCGGCUAACUACGUG